rnacentral:rRNA from 1 species
UUUGAUAAUAAUUUAAAGUAGGGCCUGCCCACUGAAUUUUUAAAGGGCCGCAGUAUUUUGACUGUGCAAAGGUAGCAUAAUCAUUAGUUUUUUAAUUGAAAGCUUGUAUGAAUGGUUUGAUGAAAAAAUAACUUUCUAUGUUUAAAUUUUUAAAAAUUUUAUUUUUAAGUUAAAAAGCUUAAAUUUUUUUAAUAGACGAGAAGACCCUAUAGAGUUUAAUUUUAAUAAAUUUUUAAAUUUAUAGAAUUAAGAAAUUUUAAAUUUUAUUAUAAUUUGGUUGGGGUGACUGAAAAAUUUAAUAAACUUUUUUUAAUUAUAUACAUAGAUUUAUGAAAAUUUGAUCCAUUUAAAUGAUUAAAAGAAUAAAUUACCUUAGGGAUAACAGCGUUAUUUUUUUUUAGAGUUCAAAUCGAAAAAAGAGAUUGCGACCUCGAUGUUGGAUUAAAGUAAAUUUUAGGUGUAGAAGCUUAAAAAUUUGGUCUGUUCGACCAUUAAAACUUUACA